rnacentral:lncRNA from 1 species
AGCGCCUGAUUUCACUGCGCUACCUCACAUAUGUUCAAUUAUCUUUUUUUCGACAAUUUUUUUAAACUGUCAAAAGUCAAAUAACAUGAAUAAUAGAAUAAUUAGAUUCACCUUUUUUUUUUGUACGGUUAUAUUAUUAUACAAAGUCAGUUUUUUAAAUGAUUAAUCCCAUUUUUCCUUUGUGUUAGUUACUAUUGUAUCCAUACAACGUGGGGAACUCGUGCCACCACUUUCCAAAGUUAAAAAUGAACAUGAAACAAAUGAGUGAGGUCCUCCAGCAGACCCUGUCUGGUGAACAUGAAACAAAUGAGUGAGGUCCUCCAGCAGACCCUGUCUGGUGAACAUGAAACAAAUGAGUGAGGUCCUCCAGCAGAUGUUCGUCCACUUUUUCCACAUACUCUUUCAUUGCGCCAACCAUGAACGACACCUGCUGGGACGAAACCAGGACUCUCCAUUCCCAGGAGACUUGGUGAUCGUUUAGUCGGUUCAGGAUGCCUUGUCAUAGAAUGUCCUUACACUCAUCAGACACAAACUGCCGGAUGUUGUUGAACGUCAGCCUGUUCCUGGUGAGCCGUGAGGAACACAACACUGGAGUCACUCCCGAUCUGGUGGGAAACAAUUUGCACAAAUUGGGUCACAAGCAGUGGAAAGGGCUGGUGAAGUACAUUGUUUCAUGUCCCUUUCAAGCUAAAAUUCAGCUGAAAACUAUUUAUAACAUUUCGCGACCUCAGUGCUUUCUUGUCGCAUCUCCGUUUUUUCAACGUUGAAAAUGUGACAUCUUCUUUAGCUCCCUCUUUGUUAUGAACUGUACUUUCUCUGUUGAAAACAAUGGAGAUGUGACAAGAAAUCAUCGGGAAAGUCAAAAUGGAGAGCAAUAGUUUUAUCAACAAUACCAGUUUAUGGAAAACCUUGCUGUCUCCAGAUUGAGCAUGGAAGAAAAAAACUUCCUUGACAGCCCCAUCAGCAGAGAGUUCUUGCAGCACUCCAAAAAAUGAAAAAUGGGUCUGAUAGGUCUGCCUCUGGACUUGAUGGAAUUCCCGCAGAAUUUUACACGGUCUUCUGGACACAAGUUCAGCAUCUUCUUUUGGACUGUGUAAUACAUAUAUUGGUUACCUCUGCUUCUCUCAGAUCGGUAAUCUUUCUCUGUGCGUCUUUUGUACUGGAGAUGGCCACGUACGGUCGCCUCGGAAGCUUCUUGUGAGGAGGGAGGAAGGAGGCGUCGGAAAAGGUCCUUUUACCAUUUUUUGAACUUUUGCGAGCCAAGGCUUCUUUCCGUCUGGGGCUGUUGAAGGGUCUUUAGGGUUUUUAGAAUCCAUGAGAGUUUUUAUAUUUGAUUCGACUCCGGGGCUUCCCGCCCGCCACGGAGCCCAACAAGGGGGCACAUUGACACACACCUAGUUAUCUCCCCUUCACAUCUCUCUCAUGUGUGUGUGUGUGUUGGUAUUUCGACACCCACGCCAUGUCGAGCGAUGUCAAAUUAGUACUCUUGACUUUCAGACGACGAGGGUUGUCAGGCCCUUCACCCGCCUGAUAUCUUCCAGAUAUUUACACGUUGUGCUGUUUUCACGAGGGGUCUGAUUGGUCUUUCCAAGACUCCUUGUUGUCUGCCCGCUGACGAGCAGAUCGAUGGGUCGGUGGAAUCGCAGCAUUUCUUGACGUAAGUAAAUUUCUACUAUAUCCAUUUUUAGGUUGUGGAGAUUUUCCUUUUUAUACUUUUUUAGAGCUCUUGAUCUCUUUGAAAGUGUAAUUCUUUGAAAUACCACAGCUUGGGCACAGAGAGAGAGAGAGACAGAAAUGUUGAUUGUUUGUGUACACUCGUGUCUUUGAUCUGUGUCGCCUGUACUUCCAUUUAACUUUUUGUUCUUAUGAGAGGCGAAUGUACCACCACUGCUCCUUGCACGUAAAGUAAAUAGAAACAAAGAAAGAGUUUACCGCGGCUCAUUAGAUACAGGUUUGUUCUCCCCACCCCCACCGCUGCCGCGCGCUCGUAUGAAUUGAAAAAUUAUCCAUGCGACAUGUCAAAAGAUGGAAUUAAUGCUUUUUUUUUGGGGGGGGGGGGUGGAUAACUUGUGUGUGCAAACUUUGUGUACAUGAACCUGGUCAAGAUGGCCUACACUAUAAUAGUUAUGACCGCAUGCAGUUGUGAGCGCCGUAAAACUCUUACUGAAAAAAAAAA